rnacentral:rRNA from 1 species
UCCAGACUCCUACGGAGGCAGCAGUGGGGAAUAUUGGACAAUGGGGGAAACCCUGAUCCAGCGACGCCGCGUGAGUGAAGAAGUAUUUCGGUACGUAAAGCUCUAUCAGCAGGAAAGAAAAUGACGGUACCUGACUAAGAAGCCCCGGCUAACUACGUGCCAGCAGCCGCGGUAAUACGUAGGGGGCAAGCGUUAUCCGGAUUUACUGGGUGUAAAGGGAGCGUAGACGGCAGCGCAAGUCUGGAGUGAAAUGCCGGGGCCCAACCCCGGAACUGCUCUGGAAACUGUGAAGCUGGAGUGCAGGAGAGGUAAGCGGAAUUCCUGGUGUAGCGGUGAAAUGCGUAGAUAUCAGGAGGAACACCGGCGGCGAAGGCGGCUUACUGGACUGUAACUGACGUUGAGGCUCGAAGGCGUGGGGAGCAAACAGGAUUAGAUACCCGAGUA